CUGUAAAAAAGAACAAAUGUGGCUCUAUGAAUUAUCUCAAAACAGUAUUAGUGACUCCUGGCCUCUACAAUUUCCCCAAGGUCUGCUGAAAAUGCCCCUCACCUUGGAUGCUCCCUACAGUGGAAAGAGAAGAAAUACAUAGUAUCACUCCUCAACCUACAAAGAAAAUCAAAGAGAGACAGGGUUUCAAAACAGGACACUUUCAGAAGUGGAAGCAAAAUUGAGCAAAACUGGAACAGAAAUAAAGGAAGAGGAGGUCCACAUAAAAGUGGAGGAAGAAAACAGAGCUCAGAAACCUUAUAGUGGAAGCUGCCAUGUUUGUGAACACUACAUGAAAACAACAGAAGAGGGAGCACUAUGAAUUUAGAAAAGAGCCCUCACCCAACUAGCCCAUGCACCCUGUUCGUUUGAGAGAAACCCAACAACAGAAGAGGAUGGGCACUCCAUAAGGAUUUAAACACACACUGGCAGUGUUUUCCUCCGCAGCAAGAGAUACCUCAAAACAAGGACAUCAGACCAAACUGCUCUACAGAGUAAAAGCAAUACUUCAAGGACUCUUCUGAGUGUGUGGAAGCCACCGAGAGGCAUGAAAAUGAUGAAUGUGCUUAGUUUUUAUGCCCAGUCCUACUAACCAUACAAAACUGAAACUAGUUCCCUAAAAACCAACUACUCCUGGAUGCCCUAAGCAGUCCCCACCACUUCCCCUGGCUCUGCAGACAUCAAUAAGAGAGCACAUUACAAGGAAUAAAAC